rnacentral:rRNA from 1 species
GACGUAGGAGGCAAGCGUUGUUCGGAAUUACUGGGCGUAAAGCGUCCGUAGGCGGGCGGGUAAGAGGAUAGUUAAAUCCCGGGGCUUAACCCCGGAGCUGCGUUUGGAACUGCGAAGCUUGAGUCUCGGAGAGGAUGGUGGAAUUCUGAGUGUAGAGGUGAAAUUCGUAGAUAUUCAGAGGAACACCGAUGGCGAAGGCAGCCAUCUGGACGAGUACUGACGCUGAGGCGCGAAAGCGUGGGGAGCAAACAGG